ACAAUGGAGAGUUUGAUCCUGGCUCAGGAUGAACGCUAGCGGCAGGCCUAAUACAUGCAAGUCGAACGAUACUACCGGGCUUGCUCGGUAGGAAAGUGGCGCACGGGUGCGUAACGCGUAUGCAACCUACCUUAAUCAGGGGGAUAGCCCGAAGAAAUUCGGAUUAACACCGCAUAAAAACACAGGAUAGCAUUAUCCAAUGUUCAAAUAUUUAUAGGAUUAAGAUGGGCAUGAGAGGAUGACCCCCCACACUGGUACUGAGACACGGACCAGACUCCUACGGGAGGCAGCAGUAAGGAAUAUUGGUCAAUGGAGGCAACUCUGAACCAGCCAUGCCGCGUGCAGGAAGACAGCCCUCUGGGUCGUAAACUGCUUUUAUUCGGGAAUAAACCACAUUACGUGUARUGUGCUGAAUGUACCGAAGGAAUAAGGAUCGGCUAACUCCGUGCCAGCAGCCGCGGUAAUACGGAGGAUCCAAGCGUUAUCCGGAUUUAUUGGGUUUAAAGGGUGCGUAGGCGGCUUAUUAAGUCAGGGGUGAAAGACGGUGGCUCAACCAUCGCAGUGCCCUUGAUACUGAUGAGCUUGAAUACACUAGAGGUAGGCGGAAUGUGACAAGUAGCGGUGAAAUGCAUAGAUAUGUCACAGAACACCGAUUGCGAAGGCAGCUUACUAUGGUGUGAUUGACGCUGAGGCACGAAAGCGUGGGGAUCAAACAGGAUUAGAUACCCUGGUAGUCCACGCCCUAAACGAUGAAUACUCGCUGUUAGCGAUACACAGUUAGCGGCUAAGCGAAAGCGUUAAGUAUUCCACCUGGGGAGUACGCCCGCAAGGGUGAAACUCAAAGGAAUUGACGGGGGCCCGCACAAGCGGAGGAGCAUGUGGUUUAAUUCGAUGAUACGCGAGGAACCUUACCCGGGCUUGAAAGUUAGUGAAUCAUUUAGAGAUAGAUGAGUGAGCAAUCACACGAAACUAGGUGCUGCAUGGCUGUCGUCAGCUCGUGCCGUGAGGUGUUGGGUUAAGUCCCGCAACGAGCGCAACCCCUAUGUUUAGUUGCCAGCACGUUAAGGUGGGGACUCUAAACAGACUGCCUGUGCAAACAGAGAGGAAGGAGGGGACGACGUCAAGUCAUCAUGGCCCUUACGUCCGGGGCUACACACGUGCUACAAUGGAUGGUACAGAGGGCAGCUAGCUGGUAACAGUAUGCGAAUCUCACAAAGCCAUUCACAGUUCGGAUAGAGGUCUGCAACUCGACCUCUUGAAGUUGGAUUCGCUAGUAAUCGCGUAUCAGCAAUGACGCGGUGAAUACGUUCCCGGGCCUUGUACACACCGCCCGUCAAGCCAUGGAAGUUGGGGGUACCUAAAGUAUGUAACCGUAAGGAGCGUCCUAGGGUAAAACCGAUAACUGGGGCUAAGUCGUAACAAGGUAGCCGUACCGGAAGGUGCGGCUGGAAUACCUCCUUU
rnacentral:rRNA from 1 species